ACGAUGAACACUAGGUGUCGGGGGAAUCGACCCCUUCGGUGUCGUAGCUAACGCGUUAAGUGUUCCGCCUGGGGAGUACGCACGCAAGUGUGAAACUCAAAGGAAUUGACGGGGGCCCGCACAAGCGGUGGAGUAUGUGGUUUAAUUCGAUGCAACGCGAAGAACCUUACCAGGGUUUGACAUCCUGCGAACCUCUUAGAAAUUUGAGGGUGCCUUCGGGAAUGCAGUGACAGGUGGUGCAUGGCUGUCGUCAGCUCGUGUCGUGAGAUGUUGGGUUAAGUCCCGCAACGAGCGCAACCCCCGUUUUUAGUUGCCAGCAUUUAGUUGGGCACUCUAGAAAGACCGCCGGUGAUAAACCGGAGGAAGGUGUGGAUGACGUCAAGUCAUCAUGCCCCUUACACCCUGGGCUACACACGUACUACAAUGCUACGGACAAAGGGCAGCAAACUCGCGAGAGCUAGCAAAUCCCAUAAACCGUGGCUCAGUUCAGAUCGUAGGCGGCAACUCGCCUACGUGAAGUAGGAAUCGCUAGUAAUCGCAGGUCAGCAUACUGCGGUGAAUACGUUCCCGGGCCUUGUACACACCGCCCGUCACACCAUGGAAGUUGGCCAUGCCCGAAGUCGUUACUCCAACCCUUGU
rnacentral:rRNA from 1 species